rnacentral:rRNA from 1 species
UACGGGGGGGGUAAGCGUUGUUCGGAAUUACUGGGCGUAAAGGGCUCGUAGGCGGCCAACUAAGUCAGACGUGAAAUCCCUCAGCUUAACUGGGGAACUGCGUCUGAUACUGGAUGGCUUGGAUUUGGGAGAGGGAUGCGGAAUUCCAGGUGUAGCGGUGAAAUGCGUAGAUAUCUAGAGGAACACCGGUGGCGAAGGCGGCAUCCUGGACCAAUAUUGACGCUGAGGAGCGAAAGCCAGGGGAGCAAACGGG